rnacentral:rRNA from 1 species
UACAGAGGGGGCAAGCGUUGUUCGGAAUUACUGGGCGUAAAGGGCGCGUAGGCGGCCUGCUAAGUCGAACGUGAAAUCCCUGGGCUCAACCCAGGAACUGCGUCCGAUACUGGUUGGCUUGAAUCCGGGAGAGGGACGUGGAAUUCCAGGUGUAGCGGUGAAAUGCGUAGAUAUCUGGAGGAACACCGGUGGCGAAGGCGGAUCUCUGGGCCUUACCUGACGCUCAGGCACGAAAGCUAGGGGAGCGAACAGG